CGGUUCUACCAGAAACACAAAAGCUGGAUUGAUGCCCUGCAGCACUGCCACAACAAGAACUCCACCCUGGUUCAAAUCACCAACCAGCGAGUGCAGGACGCAGUGAACUCUGUCCUACAAAAUAAGAGCGGCUUGGAUGGUGGAGUGUGGAUCGGCCUGGAGCGCUCCAUCUUUGGUGUAAACGUCCCCUGGCAGUGGAUUUCAGGGGAAAGAGUAAAGGAACCUCAUUGGAGCAGUAGCGCUUUUGUCGACCCCUUAAACAACCACUGUGGAAAGGUCAUCCAGGUGGAAGGGUCACAAGAAUUCAAGUGGCUGGACGAAGACUGCCAUAAAGAGCUGCCUUUCAUCUGCCAAGAUCUGAAUGGAAAGGCCUCGCCAUAAUCACUUCACUUCUCGAGACCAAGAUCCAUCAUGACGACUGCAUGGGGCUCUGGAAACUACAAGAGUCACUCCACUAUUCUUCUUGAUAUUAUGUUUGAAUGAAUAUUGGUGUUGUGGGCUACUGAUUUUUGCAUUCACUGUUCAUUGCACUUGUACUCACUUUCCAAUAACUGACUGAUUUGCUUUCUGUGGGAAAUAUUUACUCAUAUUUUACUCAACUGAAUGUAUCAGUAAUCAGUGUAUAAUCAGAAUCAAGAAACACAUAAUCAUUGUUAAUCAUGUUUUGUUGUUACCCUAGUUAGGAGCUAAAAUGAUGGUGUAUGCCUUCACCAUCUGUGCUCAAGUUGGUGUGUUUGCACUCAGGUGAUGUCAUGACCUCAUUCAUGAGGUUUACUGUCAAUCAACAAAGUUAGAUUCCUCUCAUCACUUCUCACAUUUCACAAAUCUCUCAACGGUUCAAUUCUUCUUUUGUCAAAAGUCUCAACAUAUCUCAAUCAAAAAUUACUAAUGGAUGAA